GAUGAACGCUGGCGGCGUGCCUAAUACAUGCAAGUCGAGCGAACAGAUGAUGAUCUUGCUCCUCUGACGUUAGCGGCGGACGGGUGAGUAACACGUGUAUAACCUACCUAUAAGACGGGGAUAACUUCGGGAAACCGGAGCUAAUAGCGUAUAAUAUAUUGAACCGCAUGGUUCAAUAGUGAAAGACGGUUGUUCUGUCACGUAUAGAGGGAUCUGGGCCGCAUUAGCUAGUUGUGAAGGUAACGGCUUACCAAGGCAACGAUGCGUAGCCGACGUGAGAGGGUGGUCGGCGACCUGGGAACUGGGACACGGUCAAGACUACUGAGGGAGGCCGCAGUAGCGUAUCUGCCGCAAUGGGCGAGAGCAUGACGGAACGACGGCGAGUGGGAGAUGGAGGCCUUCGGAUCGUAAAAACCUGUUAUUAGGGAAGAACAAAUGUGUAAGUAACUAUGCACGUAUUGACGGUAACUGGUAAGAAAGCAACGGCUAACUACGUG
rnacentral:rRNA from 1 species